rnacentral:rRNA from 1 species
GUGAAUGGUGGCGAUGUGGAUGAGUCAUGCAAGUCAAGGGGGUCUCGAUUAGCAAUAGUUGGGGCAACCGGCAGACGAGGUAGUAACACGUAGGGAGAUCCCCCGGAGUCAGGCAUAGCCAGCCGAAAGGCUGGGUAAUUCCCGAUGGCACCGUGAGGUUAAAGGAGCAAUCCGCUCCGGGAGUCGCCUGCGUAGUAUCAGCUAGUUGGUAGGGUAACGGCCUACCAAGGCUACGACGCUUAGGGGAGCUGAGAGGCUGACCCCCACCGAUGGGACUGAGACACGGCCCAUACUCCUACGGGAGGCUGCAGACGAGAAUAUUCCGCAAUGGGCGAAAGCCUGACGGAGCGACAUCGCGUGCUGGAUGAAGUGCUUCGGUACGUAAACAGCUUUUAUCGGGGACGAAAUAAUUGACGGUACCCGAUGAAUAAGGGGCUGCUAACUCUGU